rnacentral:lncRNA from 1 species
GAUGAAUGAUGUGAAGCUUGCUGUCUUGGGUGGUGAAGGAACAGGCAAAUCUGCCCUUACAGUGAGGUUUCUUACUAAGCGAUUCAUUGGAGAAUAUGCUUCUAAUUUUGAAUCUAUCUAUAAGAAGCACUUGUGUUUGGAAAGGAAACAACUAAAUCUAGAAAUAUAUGACCCUUGUUCUCAACGCUGAUCUACAGAAUCCGGGAGCCACAAACUAGUCAUUGUAAAAGAGCUGUGGAAUCAGCAGUGUUUUUGGUUGGCAACAAACGAGAUCUUUGUCAUGUGCGAGAGGUUGGCUGGGAAGAAGGGCAAAAGCUGGCACUGGAAAACCGAUGCCAAUUCUGUGAACUGUCUGCAGCAGAGCAGU